GUAGUCGCUUCAGCAGCACAUAUACUAAAACUGGAAUGAUACAGAGAAGAUUGGCAUGGCCCCUGUGCAAGGAUGAUGCGCAAAUUCGUGAAGCAUUCCAUAUUUUU